rnacentral:tmRNA from 1 species
GGGGCUGUCCUGGUUUCGACGUGGGUUCGGGAUCGGUGUGGUGCAUGUCGAGCUUGAAUGACGCUCGUAAAUCUCCGUUCAAAAAACUAACUGCAAACGACGAACGUUUCGCACUCGCCGCUUAAAUCCGGUGAGCCUUGCAACAGCAUGUUGAUGGGCUGGGCAAGGGGGUAGCAAUACCUCCAGGCUGCAAGGGAAUUUUCAUCAGCUGGUCGUCUACCGGGUACCUUGGUAGAUGACAAGAUCUAAGGGUACUGGCUUGCGAUGCAGCGUGUGUCUGCGCGGCAUUUCGGGCGAGAUUCAAAUCAGAACACUAAACAUGUAGAUCUGCUCGACGAAGGCUGACGGACGCGGGUUCAAUUCCCGCCAGCUCCACCA